CGUACACUCCUGCGGGAGGCAGCAGUGGGGAAUAUUGCACAAUGGGCGCAAGCCUGAUGCAGCCAUGCCGCGUGUAUGAAGAAGGCCUUCGGGUUGUAAAGUACUUUCAGCGGGGAGGAAGGCAAUACGGUUAAUAACCGUGUUGAUUGACGUUACCCGCAGAAGAAGCACCGGCUAACUCCGUGCCAGCAGCCGCGGUAAUACGGAGGGUGCAAGCGUUAAUCGGAAUUACUGGGCGUAAAGCGCACGCAGGCGGUCUGUCAAGUCGGAUGUGAAAUCCCCGGGCUCAACCUGGGAACUGCAUUCGAAACUGGCAGGCUUGAGUCUUGUAGAGGGGGGUAGAAUUCCAGGUGUAGCGGUGAAAUGCGUAGAGAUCUGGAGGAAUACCGGUGGCGAAGGCGGCCCCCUGGACAAAGACUGACGCUCAGGUGCGAAAGCGUGGGGAGCAAACAGGAUUAGAAACCCCAGUAGUCCCAUG
rnacentral:rRNA from 1 species